rnacentral:tRNA from 1 species
AAGGAUUUAAGUUAGAUAAACUAGUAGUCUUCAAAACUACCAACAAAGAUUCCCUUUAAGCCUUA